GACGAACGCUGGCGGCGUGCUUAACACAUGCAAGUCGAACGAUGAAGAAAAGAAUUGAAGCUUCGGCAGAAAUUCAUUUCGGAUUAGUGGCAGACGGGUGAGUAACGCGUGAGCAACCUACCUCUUACAAAGGGAUAGCCUCGGGAAACCGGGAUUAAUACCAUAUAACAUUGCGACGAAGCAUUUCGAUGCAAUCAAAGCUACGGCGGUAAGAGAUGGGCUCGCGUCCCAUUAACCAGAUGGUGAGGUAACGGCUCACCAUAGUAACGAUGGGUAACCGGCCUGGGAGGGGGAACGGUAAACCUGGAAUUGAGACCAGGUCCAGACUCCUAAGGGGGGAAGGAGGGGGGAAAAUGGCAAAAGGGAGGGAACUCUAAUGCAGGGGCGCCGGGUAAGUAAUGAAGGAAUUGGUUUCGUAAAACUCUGUUCAAGGGGAAAAAAAGGACUGAACCAAAGGAAAAAGCCCCGGCGAAAUACGG
rnacentral:rRNA from 1 species